GCAUAUCAAUAAGCGGAGGAAAAGAAAAUAACAAUGAUUCCCUUAGUAACGGCGAGUGAAGGGGGAUAAGCUCAAAUUUUAAAUCUACCAGGUUAACCUGGUCGAGUUGUAAUUUGAAGAAGCGUUUUCCGCGUUCGGGUCGGCCCAAAUCCUUUGGGAUAAGGUAUCAUGGAGGGUGAGAAUCCCGUUCGGCUGACCUUAGGAUGCUUUACGAUACGCUCUCAAAGAGUCGAGUUGUUUGGGAUUGCAGCUCAAAAUGGGAGGUAAAUUUCUCCUAAGGCUAAAUACCGGCGAGAGACCGAUAGCGAACAAGUACCGUGAGGGAAAGAUGAAAAGAACUUUGAAAAGAGAGUUAAAUAGUACGUGAAAUUGUUGAAAGGGAAACGAUUGAAGUCAGUCGUACCGGCGGGAAAUCAGCUUCUCGAGUGGGGGUUCGCGGGUGCGUGGAGCUUCGGCCUUCGUCGCUUGUGACACCUUUUGCUUCUGGAGCGUACUUUUCCGUGUGGUAGGUCAACAUCGGUUUCGAUUGCCAUAAAAUGACCGGAGGAAUGUGGCUUCGAUCUUGUAUUGGAGUGUUAUAGCCUCUGGUAGAUGUGGUGGUUGGGAUCGAGGAUUGCAACGAAUACCCUUUGGGCUAUCCGCCUGACCUCUGAAAGUCGCUUGGGUACCGAAAGCUUGCUUACGGUCAUUCAAGUUGGCGGUCAAAAGGUUAGAACGUGAUUAAAUUCGUUAAGGAUGUUGACGUA
rnacentral:rRNA from 1 species